rnacentral:lncRNA from 1 species
GUAAACUUAGACCUUUUGGUCGGUGACACCAACAAAAAAUCAUCAACUCUGUCUUUGGCUACACUAAAAUCGACUGCAUCAACUUUUUCCUUGCCUCUCUCAUUUUUUUCGGAGACCCUCUUAAUUUUAUUUUGAAGUUUAUAACAUUCUGCUUUGAUGUGACCCUUCUUUUUGCAAUAGCCACAUUUUUUGUCCUAGUUCCUUGACUUAGAAAAGAUGAGCACAAC